AUUAUCAAGUAACAAAUUUACUGGUCGGUUUCCAUCAGGGCUUGCAUCAUGUCAAUGCCUACAAGUACUUGAUUCUUCUGCAAAUUCUUUUGUGGAUGUUGUACCAACAUGGCUGGCCAAAUUGCCACGCCUUCAAGUGCUUGAGUUGGGUGCUAAUAAGCUUAUUGGCUCAAUCCCAGCUAGUCUAAGAAAUCUCACCAGUCUUUCAAGAAUAGACAUGCCCUACAACAACCUCACAGGGGAGAUUCCGCCAGAAUUAGGUCUUAUACAGGAACUCUCACAUUUGCAUCUUGGAACCAAUCAGUUGACAGGUGAAAUUCCAGCUUCCCUCGGCAACUUAUCCAAAUUAUCUUACCUAGCUUUGGAAAUGAAUCAAUUGUCCGGCCAAGUACCAACUGCACUUGGAAAAAUGCAGCUUUGAACAAUCUCGAUUUGAGAGAAAACAACUUGAAGGGAAAUCUAGACUUCUUAUCAGCCCUGUCCAAGUGCAGAAAGCUCCAAUUCCUUUGGUUAGGCGCUAAUUCUUUCACAGGCGUCCUCUCCGGCCAUGUGGGAAACCUCAGUUCACGAUUAAUCUAUUUUAAUGUAGGUGACAACAAGUUAAUAGGUGGGCUCCCGGUAGAGAUCUCAAACAUAAGCAGCCUUGCAAGACUAGGUGUAGAAAACAACCUGUUAACCGGGCCAAUCCCAGAAUCCAUAGCUAUGUUGGAAAAUCUUGGAUGGCUUGAUCUCUCAGGUAAUGACAUGUUAGGCCCUAUCCCAGCACAAAUGGGUUUGCUCGGAAGUCUAGAGCGGCUUUCUUUCCAUGCAAACAAAUUAUCAGGAUCUAUACCAAGUAGCUUUGGAAAUCUUAGUUUGUUAGAAAACAUCGACUUGUCUAGUAAGCAGUUAAGUUCAAUGAUACCUGCAAGCCUUUUCCACCUAGAUAAACUUAUCACACUAGAUAUUUCUCACAAUUACUUUGUUGGUGCACUACCAGUCGAUGUUUCAGGUCUAAGACAAGUAUACCAAAUGGACAUUUCUUCCAACUUCUUGAUAGGAAGCACCCCAGACUCAUUGGGACAACUUAGUAUGCUAAUCUACCUAAAUCUAUCGCAUAACUCCUUCAAAGGAUCAAUUCCAGGCCCACUCAAAAAGUUAAGCAGCUUAGCAUCAUUAGACCUAUCAUUUAACAAUCUCUCUGGUAGCAUUCCCACGUUCCUUGCUAACUUUACAUACUUGACUACCUUGAACCUCUCAUUCAAUAGUCUAGAAGGCCAAAUACCCGAGGGAGGUGUUUUCUCAAAUCUCACAUUGCAAUCUUUGAUUGGAAAUGUUGGGUUGUGUGGCGCUCCGCGCCUAGAUCUUUCGACAUGCCUUGACAUACCUCACUCAAGAAACAAACAUGUGCUACAAAUUCUACUCCCGACACUCACACUAGCUUUUGGCGCCAUUGCCAUUUGCAUAUACCUAUUGUUCGGAAAGAAACCUAAGGGGGGAGAGGACAAACAUUUUGUCAAUGCAAAUGAUGUCAUAGGCCAUCAGAUAGUCUCCUAUCAUGAGCUCAUUCGUGCCACCAAUAGUUUCAGUGAAGAUAACAUCUUGGGAUGCGGAAGCUUUGGAAAAGUAUUCAAAGGCCAACUAAGCACUGGUUUGGUAGUCGCUAUAAAAGUUAUUGACGUGCAGCUAGAGCAGGCCAGUCAAACUUUUGAUGCCGAGUGUCAAGUGCUUCGUAUGGUGAGACACCGCAACCUCAUAAAGAUACUCAACACAUGUUCCAAUCUUGAUUUCAAAGCGCUAGUGCUUCAGUACAUGCCAAAUGGCAGCUUGGAGAUGCUCCUACAUCAGACCAAGAGUGCAGUGCGCUUGGGAUUCCUUGAGAGAUUAUGCAUCAUGCUAGACGUGUCGAUGGCAAUGGAUUAUCUACACCAUGAGUACUACAAUUUGAUCUUGCACUGUGACUUGAAGCCUAGCAACGUGUUGUUCGAUGAGGAGAUGACGGCGCAUGUGGCGGACUUUGGCAUUGCAAGGUUGAUUCUAGAUGACAACAGCAUGACAUGUGUGAGCAUGCCUGGAACAGUUGGGUACAUGGCACCUGAGUACGGAUCUCUUGGAAAAGCAUCGCGGAAGAGCGAUGUGUUUAGUUAUGGAAUCAUGCUCCUUGAAGUCUUCACCGGAAGGAGACCCACAGAUGCUAUGUUUGGCGCACAACUAACUCUUAGGCAGUGGGUUCAUCAGGCAUUUCCUGCAAAGCUUGUCCAAGUCGUUGAUAGCCAGCUUCUGCAGGGCUCCUCUCUUUCUAGCUGCAAUCAGGAUGGUGGUUUUCUUGCGUCGGUCUUCGAGUUGGGAUUGAUCUGCUCUAGUGACUUGCCUGAGCAGAGGAUGACGAUGCAUGAUGUGGUAGUGAUGCUGAAGAAGAUCAAAGUCGAGUACACCAAACUGAUAGCUACUACUAUGCCACGUAGUGCAACACAAUGAUCGAUCGUAUAUCCUUUCUUACGUCUCAUCUAUAUCUAUGUAUAGCCUAGAUGUAUACAUUUUUCUUCUGCACUUAGAAUAGCCACAUAACUCCUCGGAUGUGUUAAUGUGUAUGACCGAUUUAAAAUUGUAUUGGGAUGUACGAUUAUACAUCCUAUUUAAGAAAGAAGGCUUUCGCCAAGUAUUAAAUUGAUAAUGC
rnacentral:rRNA from 1 species